CCUCCCCUAGCUCAUCUUUCCCCACACCUGGACACCAAAGAUUCACGGUCCCUGCUGGGGGGUUCUUCAGAGCCAUCCUGACUUCCUAGUUACAAGAUUAUUGGGAAGAAAUAGAGACAGGAGACAGAGAAGAGUCCUAGGAGAGGUGGGGAAGGCUGAGAUAAUCAGGUAGAGAAAAGACUGAAGAUUUCAGAAUCCGUGCUAAUUGUCCCUGCCCCAGCCCCACCCGCUUGAGGAUCCAGUGUUUCCAGGGAGCUGGCAUAGCCAUAGUCUUCUCCACGUGGUUUAUUGGACUUUUGGCCACAUUUGACGAGCUACUCUGACAGGUUCAGGGCAAAGAGAUGUUCCAAAGCCGUUAUGUCCAACCCAACCUUCUGUGUUAAUUGGAGGUGCCAUCUCCUGCCUCCAUGAAUUCACACCCACAGUUCCUUGUGCACUCUCUUUACAUCUCUGAAUUUCAGAAUCCUUCUCUUCCUCCAAGGCUGA